rnacentral:rRNA from 1 species
AUACGGAGGGCGCAAGCGUUGUUCGGAAUCAUUGGGCGUAAAGCGCACGUAGGCGGCUCAACAAGUCGGGUGUGAAAUCCCGGGGCUCAACCCCGGAACUGCACUCGAAACUGUUGGGCUGGAGUCUCGGAGAGGAAGGCGGAAUUCCCGGUGUAGAGGUGAAAUUCGUAGAUAUCGGGAGGAACACCAGUGGCGAAGGCGGCCUUCUGGACGAUGACUGACGCUGAGGUGCGAAAGCGUGGGGAGCAAACAGGAGUAGAUACCCCAGUAGUCC